CUUGCUUAUUGCCUGCUCUUUCCAAGUGACCACUCAUAUGUGCACCAAACAAAGAUUCUUUUUCUUCUUCAAUUUGAGCUUCAGAUCUGAAAUUGCCUUUGUUAUUUUUGUGGACAUAAAUUCAAAUUUAUUCGAACCUCAAUAAACAUAGAGGAAUUAGCUCUACAGUACUACGUACCUCUGGUUUUCUUUCUAAUUUCAAUUAAUUGUCAUGGAGAACGUUCUGAGCAGUGAAAGAACCCCUUCUCGUAGUUUUCCAUCAAUUGAUGAGGAAAUAGUUGGUUUUGAGGAAGAUGCGGAAAGUAUAAUUGGCAUGGAGAAUGUUCUGAGCAGUGAAAGAACCCCUUCUCCUAGUUUUCCAUCAAUUGAUGAGGAAAUAUUUGGUUUUGAGGAAGAUGCGGAAAGUAUAAUUGGCA